rnacentral:rRNA from 1 species
GGGGUAAACGAGUGGCGAACGGGUGAGUAAAACGUGGGUAAUCUGCCCUGCACUUUCGGGAUAGCCUGGGAACCGGGUCCAAUACCGGAUAUGAGCUCCUGCCGCAUGGUGGGGGUUGGAAAGUUUUUCGGUGCAGGAUGAGCCCGCGGCCUAUCAGCUUGUUGGUGGGGUAAUGGCCUACCAAGGCGACGACGGGUAGCCGGCCUGAGAGGGUGAUCGGCCACACUGGGACUGAGACACGGCCCAGACUCCUACGGGAGGCAGCAGUGGGGAAAUAUUGCACAAUGGGCGAAAGCCUGAUGCAGCGACGCCGCGUGGGGGAUGACGGUCUUCGGAUUGUAAACCCCUUUCAGUAGGGACGAAGCGCAUGUGACGGUACCUGCAGAAGACGCACCGGCUAACUACGUGCCAGCAGCCGCGGUAAU